UGGGGAAUAUUGCACAAUGGGCGCAAGCCUGAUGCAGCCAUGCCGCGUGUGUGAAGAAGGCCUUCGGGUUGUAAAGCACUUUCAGCGGGGAGGAAGGCGUUAAGGUUAAUAACCUUGGCGAUUGACGUUACCCGCAGAAGAAGCACCGGCUAACUCCGUGCCAGCAGCCGCGGUAAUACGGAGGGUGCAAGCGUUAAUCGGAAUUACUGGGCGUAAAGCGCACGCAGGCGGUCUGUCAAGUCGGAUGUGAAAUCCCCGGGCUCAACCUGGGAACUGCAUUCGAAACUGGCAGGCUAGAGUCGUGUAGAGGGGGGUAGAAUUCCAGGUGUAGCGAUGAAAUGCGUAGAGAUCUGGAGGAAUACCGGUGGCGAAGGCGGCCCCCUGGACAAAGACUGACGCUCAGGUGCGAAAGCGUGGGGAGCAAACAGG
rnacentral:rRNA from 1 species